rnacentral:rRNA from 1 species
UACGUAGGGUGCAAGCGUUGUCCGGAAUUAUUGGGCGUAAAGAGCUCGUAGGCGGUCUGUCGCGUCGGAUGUGAAAAUCCAGGGCUCAACCCUGGACCUGCAUUCGAUACGGGCAGACUAGAGUUCGGCAGGGGAGACUGGAAUUCCUGGUGUAGCGGUGAAGUGCGCAGAUAUCAGGAGGAACACCGGUGGCGAAGGCGGGUCUCUGGGCCGAUACUGACGCUGAGGAGCGAAAGCGUGGGGAGCGAACAGG